UACGUAGGGGGCUAGCGUUGUCCGGAUUUAUUGGGCGUAAAGAGCGUGUAGGCGGCCAGGUAGGUCUGGUGUGAAAACUCGAGGCUUAACCUCGAGAUGUCAUCGGAAACCAUCUGGCUAGAGUCCGGAAGAGGAGAGUGGAAUUCCUGGUGUAGCGGUGAAAUGCGCAGAUAUCAGGAAGAACACCAAUGGCGAAAGCAGCUUUCUGGGACGGUACUGACGCUGAGGCGCGACAGCGUGGGGAGCAAACAGG
rnacentral:rRNA from 1 species